rnacentral:lncRNA from 1 species
CUGCCACCUUCAGAUUCACACUGCAGCACCUCAGAUUUGAUAAAUGGUUUGUCCUCAUGAUCCACUGAUACAGACUACAUGGGAGGUCCCAAUGUCCUGGUGCCCAAAGGCAAGAUCAUUCUCCCCCUGCAGUGUUUCUGUUUAUCAUGAAGUGAGUGGGCUCUUAUUGGGGGUGCCUAAUGCUGCAAUAAAGAAAGGGUUUUCUUGG